rnacentral:rRNA from 1 species
UACGGGGGGGGCAAGCGUUGUUCGGAAUUACUGGGCGUAAAGGGCUCGUAGGUGGCCAACUAAGUCAGACGUGAAAUCCCUCGGCUUAACCGGGGAACUGCGUCUGAUACUGGAUGGCUUGAGUUCGGGAGAGGGAUGCGGAAUUCCAGGUGUAGCGGUGAAAUGCGUAGAUAUCUGGAGGAACACCGGUGGCGAAGGCGGCAUCCUGGACCGAUAUUGACGCUGAGGCGCGAAAGCCAGGGGAGCAAAGCGGG